UGUGUCUUUUAAUAAAUACACUGAAAAUGACAUUGAGAGUGUUGACAGGGCAUCUAAAAAUAGUGAAGAUGCCCAUUCUUUUGACCAACCUAUUGGUCAUACUUCUUCUCCUCUUACUGUCCAACCUACUUCUCAUACUUCUCUUUGUUUUAUCCAACUAACUGAUUAUAUCCCUUCUCUUCCUACCGACCAACUUAAUGCUUAUGUUUCCUCUCCUCCUACUGACCAACUUACUGCUCAUGUUUCUUCUCCUAUAGCUGCUGCUCCCAGUAGUUGUACUGCUGCUCUUAGUAGUUCUAUUGUUGCUCCUACUAAUUCUACUGCUGCACCUUUUGAAUCUGUUGUAGAUUCAGAUGUAGAAUCUAUUGAUGGAAGUGUAGAGAUUGGAAGUGAUGUGGAUGAAUAUAUGGAUGAAGAGUUAAGAGGUUUUAAGGAAAAAAAAGAAAAGAAAAAGAAGAAAGAGGAGAGAGAGACCAGUAAUUCCUGAACAUAUUAAGUUAGGAACUAGAAGAAAGGGACCAGAUAUUAGCUAUGAUGAAUCUGCAGGUGGUGAUAGAAAUUGUUUGGAGGGUAAGUUAGCUGGUGAUGAACCUUUUUACCCAUAUGAUGAAGCAGCCAGCUUUGAAACUGAUUCAGAUGAUGUAAUAGAUGAAGAAGAUAAAGUUGAACAGGUUGAACAUAGAGAUAAAGCUAGAAGGAGGAAAAAAGUUAAGAGAGUUGCAUAUAGUUCAGAUUGUUAGAAAGUUGUGUGGGAGUUAGGACUUGUUUUUGAAAGUGUUAAUGAAUUUAGAGCUGCUGUUACUAAAUAAGCUAUUUCUGAACAUGUUGCAAUUGAGAAAUAUGUUAAUGAACCUACAAGGGUAAGGGUUAGGUGUACAACUGGUUGUCCAUGGCUUCUUUAUGCUAGCAUUUUUUUCUAGGUCUAUGAACUUUGUUGUGAAGACCUACAAUCCAGUUCAUAAGUGUGAUACUAUCAAUAGGAACAUACUUUGUAAUACCAAGUUCUUAGCUAGCCACUUCAAUGAAAGGAUAAAAGAACAAUCAGAUAUUAGAAUUUUUGAGUUUCAUCUGCUUAUUAAGAAGGAGCUGGAUUUACAUGUUGGAAGAAUAGUGCGUAGGAGAGCAAAAAAUAAGGUGAUUGCAGAACUGAUGGGUAACUAUAAUCUGGAAUUUGAGAGAAUUUCAGAUUAUAGAGAUGAGUUGAUAAGAUUAAAUCUAGGUAGUACAUGUGUAGUGAAGCUUCAUGAUGAAAUAUUUGAAGAUGGUAGAAAAAUGUUUCAAGGUUUCUAUAUAUGUUUUAAUGCAAUGAGGAAGUCCUUCCUAGUUGGUUGUAAGAAGUGCAUUGGUUUGGAUGGAUGUUUUUUAAAAGGAGUGACAAAAGGGCAGUUAUUAGUUGUUGUGUGUAAAGAUGGUAAUAAUCGAAUGUUGCCACUGGCAUGGGCAGUGGUUGAGAUUGAAAACAAGACCACUUGGAGUUAGUUUAUCAGGAUUGUAAAAGAAGCUCUUCAGCUUGGAGAUGGGACAGAUUUGACAGUGAUAACAGACAUGCAAAAGGUAAAGAAAUAUUGUUUUUGCUUCUGUUUAUGUUAUAACUAUUUCUGUUUCUAUUUUUGUUAUAGGAAUUAGAAAUUGCUGUAACUGAAUAUUUACCAAAUAUUGAACAUAGAAUAUGUGCAAGGCAUGUCCUUGCAAACUGGUCAAAAGAUGCUAUAUGUAGAGGUAUUGAGAAGAAAAAAUAUUUUUGAAGGUGUGCACGAUCUACCUUUGAGGCUGAGCUUAGAGAUAACAUUAGCUAUAUGAAGAUGUUGGGGGGAGAAUAAAUACUAGAUAAGUAGAUGUAUUUUAAUCCAGAAAGAUAAAGCAAGGUUUACUUUAGCUUUGGAAUAAAGUGUGAUGUUGUAGACAACAACAUAGUAGAAUGUUUUAAUGCAUAGGUUUUAGGAGCUAGGCAUAAGACUAUAAUUACAAUGUUAGAGGAGAUAAGGGUAAAAAUAAUGAAAUGAGUGGGACAGAUGAAGGAUUUUUGUAAAACUUGGAUCAGUGACAUUUCUCCAAUGGCUAUGAAAGUGCUAAAUGAUAAUACAACAAGGUCUAUGAAGUGCAGCAUAGAAUGGAAUUCUGAUACAAGGUAUGAGGUGCUUGAUAGAGGAUAUAGGCUUAUUGUGGAUCUUGCUAGACAAUAUUGCAGUUGUAGAUCAUGGAUGUUGAAGGAUAUACCUUGUGCUCAUGCAGUGGCUACUCUUCACCAUAAAAAAACUGAAACUAAUAAACUACAUCUCUCACUGGUACAAUAGAGAAACUUAUAUGAACACAUAUAGUUUCUUCAUUUAACUAGUUUUGAAUAUGAAGAUGUGGCCACAAUUACAGAAUAUCUCUGUCAUGCUACAUUCUGUUAAGAAGCUGCCAGGUAGGCCUGGAAAGAAUAGAAAGAAAGAAGAAGGUGAAACCAAAAAUAAAACUGGAAAGUUGUCCAAGAGGGGGAUUGAGAUUUCAUGUGGCACUUGCCAUAGCAAGGGUCACAACAAAAGAAGAUGUCCAACAGGUGCACCUGCUACUGGUACUAAUGCAAAUUCUGGCCCAAGUUCAUUUGCUGAUGCAGACCCAAGUGCAGGUCCAAGUGCAGUCCCAAGUGCAGCACCUACUAUUGGAAAAGGGAGAGUUCGAUUGGAAGAGGAAGGGGUAGACCACCAAAGAAUUCUACAGAAAAGUGUGCUGACAGACCAAGAAUGAUUGGAAUGGGAUUACUUCACACACAAAGUGAAUGCACAAUUCUUAAUCCGGGAAUACCUAGUGAAAGAUUCAAAACUAUCAAGUCUUCAACAUUUGUGACUGAAAAUCUCGGAUAUACACCAAAAACUGGUGUAAAACGGAAAGGAAAAAAAGCUAUGACCUCCAGGCAACUACAAGAAAUGAGAGGCAGAAAACGAAUGCAAACAAGGUCUAAGGCUACACACUUGAGUCAAGAAAGCUCCAAUAUUCAAUAUCUAUGAGAAGUUGGUGUAGACUGCAUUUAACACUGUAUAAAGCUUGGCAGUUGUGACUGCAUUUAAGACUGUUUUUGAUAAUUCACUGAU